AACGAACGCUGGCGGCAUGCCUAACACAUGCAAGUCGAACGAAGCCUUCGGGCUUAGUGGCGCACGGGUGCGUAACGCGUGGGAAUCUGCCCCUUGGUUCGGAAUAACAGUUGGAAACGACUGCUAAUACCGGAUGAUGACGAAAGUCCAAAGAUUUAUCGCCAGAGGAUGAGCCCGCGUAGGAUUAGCUAGUUGGUGUGGUAAAGGCGCACCAAGGCGACGAUCCUUAGCUGGUCUGAGAGGAUGAUCAGCCACACUGGGACUGAGACACGGCCCAGACUCCUACGGGAGGCAGCAGUGGGGAAUAUUGGACAAUGGGCGAAAGCCUGAUCCAGCAAUGCCGCGUGAGUGAUGAAGGCCCUAGGGUUGUAAAGCUCUUUUACCCGGGAUGAUAAUGACAGUACCGGGAGAAUAGGCCCCGGCUAACUCCGUGCCAGCCGCCGCGGUAA
rnacentral:rRNA from 1 species